AUUUGAUGAUGUGGACAUUGUAUCUACAACUCCCCAAAUCUUUCCCAAGCGACGAAGAAUUCCUCCGUAUGCUUCUGUCUAAAAGUCUUGAUCUUGUUUCUUAACU
rnacentral:snoRNA from 1 species